AACGCUGGCGGCGUGCUUAAUACAUGCAAGUUGAGCGGAGCUAAUAGUGAGUUACUUAUUAUUAGUCGAGCAGCGGACGGGUGAGUAACGCGUGGGCAAUCUGCCCUCUAGUUUUGGGAUAACAGUUCGAAAGGACUGCUAACACCGAAUAAUCUUAAAUUUUGGGCAUCUAAAUUUAAGGAAAGUUAACGCUAGAGGAUGAGCCCGCGUCCCAUUAGCCAGUUGGUGAGGUAACGGCCCACCAAGGCAACGAUGGGUAGCCGACCUGAGAGGGUGACCGGCCACACUGGGACUGAGACACGGCCCAGACUCCUACGGGAGGCAGCAGUAGGGAAUUUUCCGCAAUGGACGAAAAAGUCUGACGGAGCAACGCCGCGUGAGGGAUGAAGGUUUUCGGAUCGUAAACCUCUGUCCUUGGGGAAGAUAAUGACGGUACCCAAGGAGGAAGCCACGGCUAACUACGUGCCAGCAGCUGC
rnacentral:rRNA from 1 species